GGGCUUACGUUGGUGGCACAUAUACUAAAAGUAGAAAAAUACAGAUUAGUGUGACCUCUGCAAAAGAUGACACACAAAUUUAAGAAGCAUAUCACAUUUUU
ensembl:snRNA U6 U6 spliceosomal RNA